CGCGUACCUACUACGCCUUGACUCAUCGCUAGAGGGAUAUCUUCCGUCUCUCUCUGGUUCGCGCUCCGUCGAUACGUCGUUGCGUCGCUCCGAGUACCUAUGCACCAUGACCGUAUGGCGAGUACACUCGACUCAUCGCCCUUGAUUCAACGAGGGUUCUUUCAAGCCUGCGAAAGGGCUGCGGUGGUUCAAGGUCUCUCAUACUCUCGGAGCGACGCUUGAGGUUAGGUUAUUCCGUGAGGAGAGAAAGAAACUAUGCGCGAGCUUUCCAGGGACAUUUCGCCUGCAGCGAAUAUAAGGGUUGAAAAAUCGGAGUCGCAGGCCUCCGAUGUUUACAUUACACCGAUGUCGAUUCGCGAUCGAAUGAACUUAACGACCGAUGGAAAAAGGGACUGAACUUUGUAGUUUGUACUGUCUGGUGAGUACCUACCUAUUACGCAUUAGUGCGGUAUCGUUGCGUAGUGGGUAGCUACGCGCUGAGAGCGACAAGUAUAAUGGCCGGUCGAGAGACACCUCUGCGCGAUGUGUUCUACGGGGCUGCUUUUUUGCUGUGCGUGAAGAUAAAGGGUAUAUACUUAUGUUAUAUUACGAAAAGGCGUGAGCGCCGAGUUACAUUUUUGAGGUUACGUGUAGCAUCAGCGCUUGCAAAGAAGAAAGAGAGAAGAGUGAAGAUCGAUGAUGAUGCUUUCGAAGUUAUGGACACUCAUCGCAAGCAGUCAGUGCUCUCGAGCAUCACCUGUUCCUCAACAGCUGACGAUGAACGUACACACGUGCAGUAACCUCCAGCGCAUCAUCAACCCUUCAUCAAACAGAUCAACAACACCAUCGCCGCAUAAUAACGCCCACGCACAUCCAACAAGUGACUCUCUCUCUCUCUCUCUCUAUAAAUGUGCUCUAAUCUUACAUAAUUUCCCCCAGCAAAGGACAGUAAGUAACAUAAGCCUCGGUAAUACGGCAAAACACUCUGCGCGCGCGCGUAAUCGAGAGAUUUGCAACCUGCGCUCACUGCGUCUUUCUAUAUAAUAUUUACGUAACCGAACAUUUAUAAAUAAAACCCGGUGUGUGCACGCGUGGCGUCACUUGUUUAUUUAUACAGUACACCCGCCCCCCUUCAGACUCUCGCGCAUAGUAUAAUAUGAAUCCGUUUCGCGUACGCGUACGUUUUUUCUCGAAAUUCAUUUGCAUAACACACACUCUACUCUAAAUGUCACACAAUAAAUUACAGCCUGCACUGCACAACAAACACAGAAAUCCAGAGAACCUCUUGACAAAGGCCGAACGAGUUAAUCCGUUUGACUAUGUGUGCAGUCGUCUCGCCGAGGGAAUACAAGACACAAAGAGAAAAAGAUCGAUUGACAGAGACCCGAAAAAUCAAGUUCACUGCACCAGCAGCGGCGUAUAACAACACAAGAUCACAAGUGCACAGUAGCAAUGCGGUAUAGUAUAUAUAGUGAGUGAGAGGGGGGGGGGGAGAAGGAGCAAGUUACUCGAACGCUGCGACGGCGGCAGCACGUGCCGCGCGGCGGAGACAGCUGUGGUGUGAUGUGCGAGGGAACUGCGGCGUUUUGCUCCAUUCAACAGAGCUGGAAAAACAGGUGAUCCCUGACACUGUGUGCUGGAAGGUAUGAAUCGAGGUUUUUUUUCUCCCUUCUGCUGACGUGAUUUGCUUGUACAAUGUUCAAAUAUAUAAAUAAGAAUGUAGGUGCACGAGUGUCAGGAGCAAAUUUUACCAGCCAACACGAAGACGGCGAAAAUCGGAAACGCUUAAUCCCCAGGUGGAAGCGCAAUAAGUAGAGGCGCCCGGGAGGUGUCAUUCUGCUGUGCGAAUGCGUUAAGUAUUGCAGCAGUAACAGACGGACGCGCGUCGCGCGUUAUAAUCGCAAGGGAAAGACGACAUGCGACCGGCUUUGAGGUAUCGUGUGAGAAGUUUAUACUAUCGUCUCACUUCAGUCUUAGGAGCUUAUUUGCACUUCAGUGAUCACACGAAGUUUCUUGUCUCUGGCGCGUAUAGAAUUUCGUUCAGAGUAACAGCAGGUCUUCAGUGUAUGCGCGUACCUAUUUUAAGUCUCUGAAACAAAACUUUAAAAUACGAGAUUAGCAAAAGUUACAGUAUCAGUACUUAUACUCUAUAAGUAAUAAAAAACCUAAAAAUAAUUUAAAAGUCUACACUUACACUUCGCUACAUCGAAAGUAAAAAUCUUCCUCAUCCUUCAUUUCUCCUGUGGCUCGGACGGCAGCUGCACCGCGAAAUCCACACACGCUUGUAUAUAGUUAUAACGCAAGAAGAGAGAGAAUUUGAUCGCCGCGGCGCGUGAAGUGGCCGACUCUCUCUCUCUCGCGCGCGCGCGCGCGCGAGAUGAUGUCGGAACGGGAAAUGGACGCCGGACGGACAGCCAGACGGCGAUGGUGAUGGCGAGUUGAAGGCCCGUGGAGGUAUACAGAUAGGUAUUUAGAGGCGAGUUUUGCGAAGCUGAUGUUGGGGUGAGAUUGAAAUUGGGCUAUUAGAGUAGUGCGGUUUGUUUGGGGAAUUGUAGAGUUCAGGUUUUGUGGAGUUUUGGAGAGACGACGAUGUACAGAGUGCGAUUGGGUAGAUCCUGAGUGCCGUUUUACAACUGAGCCUGCAUAGUAAUAAAAUUGACAUCGAUUGAUUCGUGAUUAGUCUCCUGUAAGAAUUUUAAAUAUUAUGACAUAUUUGCAAAAAUCGAGCUCUUUCUUUAAAUUCCGUGUCUUACUAACAAUUCAAAUCUAAUUUUAACUAUAAAUAUCAUCUUAGAUAUGUCUCAAUGAUUUAUACAUUCUUCUGAUGACAUCAAAAUCACCAUUCACCUCCAACAAGACAUUCACACUCCAUAGAUGACUCUAUAUCAGAAGAUCAUUCAAGGCGCUAUCGUUUGUUGCACUCGCGCUAUUCGCGACGAUACUUCUCUCGAUCUUCUGAUUCUUUGUUUCUCGCGAUACAUCAGCUCAGCAGCGUAUGUGUAUCGAACGUGCUAUACGUGUAAUCUGAGUUAAAAUUGACGAUAAGCGCGACGGGGAGAGUGUAUUGGCGCAUCGGAAUGCAUAAAGCUUCUCGUCGUUCCAGUUGCUGUCAUGUAUCAUUUACUGAUGAAAAUUCAGUGUAGAGAGUAUCGAUGGGAUAGGUCUGGAUUGCAGAGAGAUUAGGACCAGAUUUACUUUUGACGACUUUGAUUGAGAUUUGUACCGAGAGAUAAUAAUGACACGAUAAUCGCAAGGUAAUUUGUUACUAAUCAGUUAAUGUACCGUGUCACAUUAAUCAUUUAUAUCAUAUCUGCAUGCAUAUAUGAUUUUUUUUUACAAACGAAUGCCACUGAAGCAGAAACAUUCUGACGGUGUAAGUACACUCUAGUACAUACACUGUCGAUCAUAAAUUAUACGCUCUUGAUUUUAUGUAUUUACAGCGUACAGAGAAAAGCUUAGGCAAACCUGUGAAAAAUCUUUUUGACGCUACAACCCCGCAACGCAAAAGCUCUCGGUCACUAUUGCGUAACUGAUACAUUUCCGGAAGGAGACCACAUCAGAGAUCGGCGUAUUAGGUGUGGUCAGUCAGAAUCGCCGAUCGCGUCCUUGAAAGUUAUACGACGGAUUCGCUCUACGAAAUUUAUGUGCUCUAGUGUUCUGUUUGGCAGAUGGUAAAAUUACUCAUGAAUUUAACAAUUUUGUUCAAAUUAUUAGCUUUAAUUUUGAGAAUUACAAAUACAUUAAUUUUCAAUAAUAAUUAUUAAAAACUUCAAACAAUCUCAUCGCUAUAUGUGUUAAACAAAAAUCCAAAAAUCUGUUUAUUUAACGUACAGCAGUCGACUCACUGCUUAAUUUAAACAGUACGAAACCUCGUAAAAAAAUCAUAAAAUUCUCGACCAAAGCAUCAUCGCCAGUCUUCGAAAGACAAACGUGCCCUACACUCGCGACAAGCGAACACGGCGAUUCUCGCGCAGCCUCCGCGUCGCUGUUGCGCUGCAUAAAGAAAGAAAGAAAGAAGCCGCGAGCCAAUCGCAAACUUGGAGUCGCGUGCCUCGGUUGCCCCACCGCUACAUUUCUGCCUUCUCUACAUGCGCACAUAACAUAUACAUACAUACACCUACAACGCGUGCAACGUUUAUCCCACUCCCAUAGCCGCCUGCGAAAGAAACAUCAGCUCUCGAGAGCGCGCCGCCUUUGUCCGCGAAACGGGACACACUACUGUAUGUAUAGUCUUUUAGGUAUACAUCGCAGAUUGUAUACUUAUUUAUCAUGUGAUUAGAUAGAUUGACCGGACCUAACGUAAUCGAUGCUUAGGAAAUAACGAACAGAAGGAGAAUACGAUGAGCUGCGAAAUGUGGCAUCUUGCAGUAGCUAUAAGGUGGCGGUGGACUCUCUUUGUUUUGCUGCUUUUCUUUCGCUGCGAUGCUCUCUGCGUUCAUUCACUUGCUUCAUUCAGGCUCUGUGCCUUUUUGUUUCCAGCGUGUGGUUGCCUCGAAACCCGUUUAUCGCGUCGCUCUUGUGGUUUGCACUGUUUGAUUAGCGAUUUUCAGCGUCUCAUUAUCGAUACAAUUAUGAUUCGAUUAUUUUAUUAUUAUAUAAGGAUCAGAAUAAUCCGUAAUUGGUAAAAUUGGAUUUUUUACAGGAUUUUGAGUUUUGAAUUACAUCGCAGCACAUCGCAUAUGAUUGACUUUUUUGUCAAUUUUUAACAAAAUCAACAAAUUUUUUUUACAGUUGAAUGUUAGCUGCACAAUACUGUAUAAAGGGCUCGUAUGUUAUAAGACUUAUUACACAAAGACUAUGUUUUUGAUAAAAUGUCAGUCUUUUUAUUCAUUUUUAUUUUUUUCUUCAUUGCAACUAGCUUAAACAAGAAAUUUUUUCUACAAAAAAGUCUAAUAACGAAAACCAAAUGCACUUUAUAAAAGGCAUUCAUAUAGCUCGCUUUGUAUAGAUUUUGUACAUAUAACAUCAUGUGUAUAUAUGUAUAUAUAUAUAUAUAUAUAUUUGGAAGUAUUAUCUGAAUUCUGACAGCGAUGAAUUUUGAUUUGCUUUUGCAGAACUGGUUUGCGGAAAAGCGUGUUGUAUUGUAUAUUGUAAUUUCUUUAAUGCCUGUUUCAUUAUAGUUUUAGUGGUUUUCAUUUUCACAUAAAUCUUUUACAAUUUAACAUUGUUAACUAUUUAUAAUUACCAGCUGAUUGUACCAAUUUUGAUAAGUAAGGUAAGUACUAACAAUUAUCUCAUAAUUUUUGUAGUAUGAAAAAUGAGAUCAUAUAAUCACAGCAAAUUUAAUUUUCAAACCAUAUUGACGUUGUUUUAAAACAGUGUAUAUCAUAAGACUGGAACUAUUUUAGUCAAAAGCUAAAACACACAAUUUUUUGUUAAAGGAGAUAAAUUUAUAAAUAUAGAUAGUUUAAAUACGUCAAACCAUGGUAUAAAAAAUCUGAUUCAAUUGCAAAUAUUUUUGCUGUAGUAAUGUGACAAGUGUAGAGAUAUUCUGAAAUAGCAAUCAACGUUUUUUGUGUCUAUAUUGUAUAAUAUGUUCGUGGGUAUUUGAUCUAUUUUACAGGCACAAUUUUUUGAAACACAUUACAUUAUUUCUUUCAAUUUUCACUUUUUUUUCUAUUUUACUUAACAUUAUUGUAUGCAACCAAAGCCACUUUUUCUUACAUAAAUUUUGAGAGUGAAUCAUUUAAACGAAUUUGAAUGAAACUCUUUCAAUAAAUGCAAGUUACUUUACAAACCAUAUUUUACCUUUUUAUAGAUCAACUUAUAUUAUCAAGAAAAAUUUUAAGUUAAUGAAAAGUUGAAGCUAGGGUUUCAUUGAUUUUUAAUUAUUACUAUAUAAGUAUCUUGAAGCAAAAGCGUUUAAAAUAUCAACAAGUAGAAUUGCUUUUUCCUUCCGAGAAAUUUUAAAACGAAUCAAGAUGAAAAAUUCAUUUCAAAUUUCUCUAGGAAUGACUGUUUAGCCAUGGAGCUCAAUGCACACUAGGAAAAGAUUUGUACGAAAGGAAAAAAAACAAUGUUAUUAAUAUUACGUUUUUUUAUAAGAAUUUUAUAGAAAAUUACAGCCAAUGCACUAACUUAAAUAAGUGCAGCAAUGUAUCUUUUAAAUACAAAUCUUUUCUAUUUUGAAUAUGUAUUAAAUCAUCAUUAACAUGCGAACAAAAAGAACGUGUGAUGGCUUAAAAAAUUUCAUAAUAAAAAUAUUCAUUUUAUUUUCACAAACUUAUAUAUUGGCGCAUGUUUAAUAAUGCAACUCGCCACUUGAUAAUGCACGUUAAAUUUUCCUCUACAGAAAAAGAAAUCUUAUUGCAAUCAUACCGUGAAGUAGCCAAUAAAAGUCCUUUUACCAAGACUAAUAUAAGUUUAAAAAUAAAAAAUGAUCAUUUUCAGCUUUACUCAUGGAAAAUAUACGUAGUAUAACUUGGAUAUAUCUGAUAAAGAUUUCGCAGCCAUAAAAACGCUCAUAUUCCAGAUGCACUCUUGGUCUGUUUAAUAACCCCCCAGCAUAAACUAAAAUAUU